UACAGAGGUGGCAAGCGUUGUUCGGAAUUACUGGGCGUAAAGGGCGCGUAGGCGGCCAUCUAAGUCAGACGUGAAAUCCCCCGGCUUAACCUGGGAACUGCGUCUGAUACUGGAAGGCUCGAGUUUGGGAGAGGGAUGUGGAAUUCCAGGUGUAGCGGUGAAAUGCGUAGAUAUCUGGAGGAACACCGGUGGCGAAGGCGGCAUCCUGGACCAACACUGACGCUGAGGCGCGAGAGCUAGGGGAGCAAACGGG
rnacentral:rRNA from 1 species